UGAGAGUGGCGCACGGGUGCGUAACACGUAUGUAACCUACCUUUAUCUGGGGGAUAGCCUCUCGAAAGAGAGAUUAACACCGCAUAACAUGAGCGGACAGCAUUGUCUGGUCAUCAAAUAUUUAUAGGAUAAAGAUGGGCAUGCGGGACAUUAGCUAGUUGGUUUGGGGUAACGGCCCACCAAGGCGACGAUGUCUAGGGGAUCUGAGAGGAUGACCCCCCACACUGGUACUGAGACACGGACCAGACUCCUACGGGAGGCAGCAGUAAGGAAUAUUGGUCAAUGGGCGCAAGCCUGAACCAGCCAUGCCGCGUGCAGGAAGACGGCCCUACGGGUUGUAAACUGCUUUUGUACCGGAAUAAACCUUUUCACGUGUGAGAAGCUGAAUGUACGGUAAGAAUAAGGAUCGGCUAACUCCGUGCCAGCAGCCGCGGUAAUACGGAGGAUCCAAGCGUUAUCCGGAUUUAUUGGGUUUAAAGGGUGCGUAGGUGGCCUGUUAAGUCAGGGGUGAAAGACGGUAGCUUAACUAUCGCAGUGCCUUUGAUACUGACGGG
rnacentral:rRNA from 1 species